rnacentral:rRNA from 1 species
CCUACGGGAGGCUGCAGUGAGGAAUAUUGGUCAAUGGCCGCGAGCCUGAACCAGCCAAGUAGCGUGAAGGAUGACUGCCCUACGGGUUGUAAACUUCUUUUGUAAAGGAGUAAGGUGCAGCACGUGUGCCUUUUUGUGUGUACUUUAUGAAUAAGGAUCGGCUAACUCCGUGCCAGCAGCCGCGGUAAUACGGAGGAUCCGAGCGUUAUCCGGAUUUAUUGGGUUUAAAGGGAGCGUAGAUGGGGUGUUAAGUCAGUUGUGAAAGUCUGCGGCUCCACCGUAAGAUGGCAAUUGAUACUGGCAGCCUUGAGUACAGUUGAGGUAGGCGGAAUUCGUGGUGUAGCGGUGAAAUGCUUAGAUAUCACGAAGAACUCCGAUUGCGAAGGCAGCUUACCAAAACGCAACUGACACUGAUGCUCGAAAGUGUGGGUAUCAAACAGGAUUAGAUACCCUUGUAGUC